UACGGGGGGUGCGAGCGUUGUCCGGAAUCACUGGGCGUAAAGCGCACGUAGGCGGAUCUUUAAGUCAGGGGUGAAAUCCUGGAGCUCAACUCCAGAACUGCCUUUGAUACUGGGGAUCUCGAGUCCGGGAGAGGUGAGUGGAACUGCGAGUGUAGAGGUGAAAUUCGUAGAUAUUCGCAAGAACACCAGUGGCGAAGGCGGCUCACUGGCCCGGUACUGACGCUGAGGUGCGAAAGCGUGGGGAGCAAACAGG
rnacentral:rRNA from 1 species